rnacentral:rRNA from 1 species
AGCAGCCGCGGUAAUUCCAGCUCCAAUAGCGUAUAUUUAAGUUGUUGCAGUUAAAAAGCUCGUAGUUGAAUUUCGGGACCAAUAUGUCGGUCGUGCCUCGGUACGUACUGGUGUCAUUGGUUUCUCUCUUCUGAGGAUCCUUGAUGUCAUUAAUUUGGUGUCUUGGGAAAUCAGGACUGUUACCUUGAAAAAAAUUGAGUGUUUAAAGCAGGCAUACGCUUGAAUACAUUAGCAUGGAAUAAUGAAAUAGGACGUUCGAUUCUAUUUUGUUGGUUUCUAGGAUCGACGUAAUGAUUAAUAGGGAUAGUUGGGGGCAUUAGUAUUCAAUUGUCAGAGGUGAAAUUCUUGGAUUUAUUGAAGACUAACUACUGCGAAAGCAUUUGCCAAGGAUGUUUUAUAAUCAAGAACGAAAGUUGGGGAUCGAAGACGAUCAGAUACCGUCGUAGUCUUAACCAUAAACCUACGACCGACUAGGGAUCGGAUGAUGUUAAUUUUUAGUNACUCAUUCGGCGCCUUAACC